rnacentral:lncRNA from 1 species
GUUGAGCUCUGGGAGGCGAGCACGCAAGCGUCAGGGCUCCGCGCCACCUGCUGGCCAGACGAGGUAGUGCGGCGCCCGCUGGGCGAACUCCUGGCGCUCCGCUCUUCAAAGUGAUCCACACCAGACCUGAAGUUAAGUCAGCCCUGCUAAGAAAAGACCGAAUUAUCUUUCUCUACAUAGAGAAUUAAAGGGUGAAACUGUUACCACAUGGGGACCAAGGGUAUGAAGCUGUAAUGUACUGGAAGGAAGAAAAAGCAGCUCGGAGCUGCCUCAGGAAGUCGCUCUCAACAGUCACGGAACCGCCCGCUGUUGUUACUGUUAUAGAGCGCUCAAUCGUAUGAGCCUCCGCCUCACAACGUCUAGAUGUCCUUUGGGCACACUCCAGGCUGAUCGGCAAAGACACAGAACAAGCUGGGAGACCCAGCUGCCAGAACGGCUCCUUCACUCACUGGCUUCGCAGCUGGGCGCCCACAGGAGUUUCUCUCCAGCCCCGGCAUGCACUCUUACGCAGGCUCCCUUUACCUGUGUGUGCACUUGAGCUGUCUGGUGGCCACGCAGAAAACUGACCGAGGCUCCCUGAACAACAGAAGCUAAAGCUUGAGAGUGUUGCCUUCCACUUCCUUAUGAAGCACCUGGGGUCCUCAAGUCAGUCUGCCCCAAAGUAGAAACACGCCAGGAACACUAGCAAGUGAGGACAAGUAGAAAGAACUGGGUCCUCCAGUGCAGACAAGGUGACUGGAAAGGAAGGACAGAAUUGCUUAGAGCAAUUUGGGGAGGCUCAUGCCUGUGCAAGGGUUUGCAAGACUUGACUGAAAUUGACAAAGAGCAAGACACAAGGUGCAGAUGAAAGGAUCUGUCUUGGAGAGCGAGGCCAAGGAAUCCAUGAGGGAUUGAACACAGGACCUUGCGCUUUCGAGGCAGGUGGCAGAACCGCUGAGCUAAAUCCCCAGCCCUGCAUUUCUAAGAGUAUAAAAUAUAAAUGUAUUCCAUAACAACAGUAUAGUAAUUUAGUAUAUGAAUGUUAAUAUUAACCC